rnacentral:rRNA from 1 species
GACGAACGCUGGCGGCGCGCCUAACACAUGCAAGUCGAACGAGCGAGUGAGAGCUUGCUUUCUCAAGCGAGUGGCGAACGGGUGAGUAACGCGUGAGGAACCUGCCUCAAAGAGGGGGACAACAGUUGGAAACGACUGCUAAUACCGCAUAAGCCCACAGGUCGGCAUCGACCAGAGGGAAAAGGAGCAAUGCGCUUUGAGAUGGCCUCGCGUCCGAUUAGCUAGUUGGUGAGGUAACGGCCCACCAAGGCAACGAUCGGUAGCCGGACUGAGAGGAUGAACGGCCACAUUGGGACUGAGACACGGCCCAGACUCCUACGGAAGGCAGCAGUGGGGAAUAUUGCACAAUGGGGGAAACCCUGAUGCAGCGACGCCGCGUGGAGGAAGAAGGUCUUCGGAUUGUAAACUCCUGUUGUUGAGGAAGAUAAUGACGGUACUCAAAAAGGAAGUGACGGCUAACUACGUG